CUGUCUUUAGUUGCUAACAGGUCAAGCUGAGCACUCUAAAGAGACUGCCGGUGAAAAACCGGAGGAAGGUGGGGAUGACGUCAAGUCCUCAUGGCCUUUAUGUCCAGGGCUACACACGUACUACAAUGGCCGGUACAAAGAGUCGCAAACCCGCGAGGGGGAGCCAAUCUCAAAAAGCCGGUCUCAGUUCGGAUUGGAGUCUGCAACUCGACUCCAUGAAGCUGGAAUCGCUAGUAAUCACUGAUCAGCAAGCAGUGGUGAAUACGUUCCCGGGCCUU
rnacentral:rRNA from 1 species